rnacentral:rRNA from 1 species
UACGGAGGGUGCAAGCGUUAUCCGGAUUCACUGGGUUUAAAGGGAGCGUAGGUGGGCUUGUAAGUCAGUGGAUGAAAUCUCCGUGCUUAACACGGAAACUGCCAUUGAUACUAUAGGUCUUGAAUGUUCUGGAGGUUAGCGGAAUAUGAUCAUGUAGCGGUGAAAUGCUUAGAUAUGAACAUAGAAACACCAAUUGCGAAAGGC